GUUCUACCAGGGCUUGGACUUUCAUUUUUCUCAGACUUAUGGGAUUUCACGCACUUUUUGGUUUCCUAAACAAUAACGGUGGAAAGUUUUCAGCAAUGGAAUUUCAAUUUUUAAACUAUAAGUAUCAAGCUGAAAUAUUAUGCAUCUUAGCUAUUCUGCAUUUUGAAUAUUACCCUUUAUGCAGCCGCUGCUAUAUCAACGUAUAAAAUGACUAUGAUGGUUCCAGACACAUUUUAUGUGUUCUUGCUGCUAGUCCUCACUCACAUAUGGGAGCUAUUCUCUUUCUCCUUUAAGCUUUUACCAGCCUCCUAUAGCAGAUCCUAAAAUCUUCUUCUGCCAUUCACCUUUCCUGAACUAUAUAUGUAGUCUAAACUCUUUAAAUUAA